rnacentral:rRNA from 1 species
CCUACGGGGCGCUGCAGUGGGGAAUAUUGGACAAUGGGCGAAAGCCUGAUCCAGCCAUGCCGCGUGUGUGAAGAAGGCCUUCGGGUUGUAAAGCACUUUCAGUGGGGAAGAAAGCCUUGGGGCUAAUACCCUCGAGGAAGGACAUCACCCACAGAAGAAGCACCGGCUAACUCCGUGCCAGCAGCCGCGGUAAUACGGAGGGUGCGAGCGUUAAUCGGAAUUACUGGGCGUAAAGCGCGCGUAGGCGGUCUGAUAAGCCGGUUGUGAAAGCCCCGGGCUCAACCUGGGAACGGCAUCCGGAACUGUCAGGCUAGAGUGCAGGAGAGGAAGGUAGAAUUCCCGGUGUAGCGGUGAAAUGCGUAGAGAUCGGGAGGAAUACCAGUGGCGAAGGCGGCCUUCUGGACUGACACUGACGCUGAGGUGCGAAAGCGUGGGUAGCAAACAGGAUUAGAUACCCUGGUAGUC